AUUGAACGCUGGCGGCAGGCCUAACACAUGCAAGUCGAGCGAGCGGCGGACGGGGGAGUAAUGUCUGGGAAACUGCCUGAUGGGGGGGGAUAACAACUGUGAACGGUAGCUAAUACCGCAUACCAUCAGAUGUGCCCAGAUGGGGUUAGCUAGUAGGUGGGGUAACGGCGCACCUGGGCGACGAUCCCUAGCUGGUCUGAGAGGAUGACCAGCCACACUGGAACUGAGACACGGUCCAGACUCCUACGGGAGGCAGCAGUGGGGAAUAUUGCACAAUGGGCGCAAGCCUGAUGCAGCCAUGCCGCGUGUGUGAAGAAGGCCUUCGGGUUGUAAAGCACUUUCAGCGGGGAGGCGUUACCCGCAGAAGAAGCACCGGCUAACUCCGUGCCAGCAGCCGCGGUAAUUC
rnacentral:rRNA from 1 species